CUCCAAUGAACACGAGGAGACUGGCCGAUAUCACCUCUUUCUACUUCACUCUCUUCAACCACAUGUGAUAAGAUCACGUAAUGAUGGACAUAAAAGCCAAAAUAAGGAAACGGGAGGCAGAAUAACAAACAACAAGAUGAAAUAAUUAGCCUAGGCUGCAUGAUAUGGAGAUGGGAGAGAUGCGCACCGGAGCGCAGGGUGGCAAAGUGACCGGUAAGGAAGGAGAAUGGCGGCGGCUGCCCAGAAGAAAUCUGGGCCUGACGCAAGUUUGGACGGAGGAUUAUGGAGGGGGGUGUGAUUCUGGAUGUCAGUUUGGGGCAGAGCCUCGCCUGAGAGCCAGAGGGAACAAAUUGUGGCUUUCGGAGGGAGGAAGAAGUGACCUGUCAGCCGGUCCCAUACAUCAUCUGGACAAAAUGGCCCCCAUUCUUUCUGCUGACCAGCAAGAACAUCACCCACCUCAUCCUUACCCUCCCCAGUAAACAAAUUCAGAAGAAGAAAGGUGCUAAAUAUGUCCUGCCCACUGGAUCGGCAGACAUUACAUUUGCAAGUGAUAUGCAGUACUCAUCCAUCUGUGUGUGCGUGUGUUUUUUUUUUAUUUCUAGUGAAUUUUGGGAGGAACAUAAAUGAUUUUUAAGUUCACUUUGUCAAUUUAAUUGACUGUUGGCCGUUGCAAGUGUGUAUGUGUCUGUUGAAUAUGGGAAGCCUGGAUGGAGCAACUGAAAAAAAAAGAAUGAGGUCAUUGCUAAAGCUGGCGUGUGUGUGUGUGUGUCU